rnacentral:rRNA from 1 species
UACGUAGGGGGCUAGCGUUGUCCGGAUUUAUUGGGCGUAAAGAGCGUGUAGGCGGCCAUGUAGGUCCGGUGUGAAAACUCGAGGCUUAACCUCGAGAUGUCAUCGGAAACCAUUUGGCUAGAGUCCGGAAGAGGAGAGUGGAAUUCCUGGUGUAGCGGUGGAAUGCGCAGAUAUCAGGAGGAACACCGAUGGCGAAGGCAGGUCACUGGGCCGCAACUGACGCUGAGGAGCGGAAAGCAUGGGGAGCGAACAGG